UCCUGACUGACCGAUAGUGAACCAGUACCGUGAGGGAAAGGCGAAAAGAACCCCGGCGAGGGGAGUGAAAAAGAACCUGAAACCGUGUACGUACAAGCAGUGGGAGCACGCUUAGGCGUGUGACUGCGUACCUUUUGUAUAAUGGGUCAGCGACUUAUAUUCUGUAGCAAGGUUAACCGAAUAGGGGAGCCGAAGGGAAACCGAGUCUUAACUGGGCGUUAAGUUGCAGGGUAUAGACCCGAAACCCGGUGAUCUAGCCAUGGGCAGGUUGAAGGUUGGGUAACACUAACUGGAGGACCGAACCGACUAAUGUUGAAAAAUUAGCGGAUGACUUGUGGCUGGGGGUGAAAGGCCAAUCAAACCGGGAGAUAGCUGGUUCUCCCCGAAAGCUAUUUAGGUAGCGCCUCGUGAAUUCAUCUCCGGGGGUAGAGCACUGUUUCGGCAAGGGGGUCAUCCCGACUUACCAACCCGAUGCAAACUGCGAAUACCGGAGAAUGUUAUCACG
rnacentral:rRNA from 2 species